AAAAUUAAAUACCAUCCAUGCUAUCCCAUGGUGAGGUCAGUGGAAGUAAGAAUUACAGGAGCAGAUCCUAGAUUUGGGACACCCAAAACAAUUCACCCGCUCUGCUGAACACCAGCUGAUCAGGCCUUGCCAGCUCCACGUUUUACAGAGAGGGUCUACACCGGCAGGUCUUUGACGGUUAGGCCUACGAGCUGGUCAUUUUACACUCAUUUGCCAGGAAGGCGGUCGUGGCAGCAGAGGCAGCUCUCUGAGGAACUGUCGACCCAAGGAAAACUGGAGUCUGAGGCUUCUGUAUGUGUGAUAUCCACACCUCGUAUGAGAACACCAAAGCGGAGUCCAUAUCGCAGUUGGCCCUCCCAGCGGUGAGACCGAGGACUAAAUUGCUUUCCUCACAGAGAUGGGUGCUGAGUCAGGAUUGAGGCACAACGUGAACGCAGGACGGCAAUAAUGCUGUAUCCUCCACCUUCUUAAUCUCUGCUGAACCUCCAAGAAAGCUCCUAUUGUCUGAUUGAGGGUUGUCUGAAUGAUUGAUGUAUUCUUGCAGGAUGGAGAUAAUAUAGUGCUGUAGCUCCGGAAGGCAAGGGCUUCACUCUGGGGAUGGCAACGGAUGAUUCUCCGCAGCGUAACAAUGGAUGUCAUGUGAUGGUCAAAGGACCAUGAAACCCAAGAAAUCCUGAUCAAAACAGUGUUCUGUCAGAUCCAUAGAUAACGUACCUACCACUGUCUGAGUUCAUGGUGCUAUCCAUACGUGCCCCCAAAAUGUUAGGUGCUGUCUAGAAGUAGAAGACGACACAGCCCCUGCCCAGAAGCGCUUACCAUCUAACUGAACAAAAUUGAGG